GACGAACGCUGGCGGCGCGCUUAACACAUGCAAGUCGAACGGAAAGGCCUGCUUUCCCUUGUGGAUUGCGGGUACUCGAGUGGCGAACGGGUGAGUAACACGUGAGUGAUCUGCCCCCAACUUGGGUAUAAGCCUGGGAAACUGGGUCUAAUUCCCGAUAGGACUGCAGGGUGGUGCCUGUGGUGGAAAACGAUUUUCUAGUGGUUGGGGAUGAGCUCGCGGCCUAUCAGCUUGUUGGUGCGGUAAUGGCCUACCAAGGCGGCGACGGGUAGCCGGCCUGGGAGGGUGGACGGGCACAUUGGGACUGGUACACGGCCCAGAGUCCGACGGGAGGCAGCAGUGGGGAACAUUGCACGAUGGGCGGAAGCCGGAUGCAGGGACGGCGCGUGGGGGAUGACGGCCUUCGGGUUGUAAACUCCGUUCGACAGCGGGGAAGCCACCUGGUUGGAAGGGUGGUGAGGGUAGUGGUAGAAGAAGCACCGGCUAACUACGU
rnacentral:rRNA from 1 species